UGGGACUGAGAAUGAAAGAGUUGGUCUUU
rnacentral:piRNA from 1 species